CCAGAGCUGGACGCAGCGCUGCAGGGGGGUCUCAGAAGAGUGGAGCAGAGGGGCAGAGCCCCCCUCCUCGCCCUGCUGCCCAUGCUGCUGGUGAUGCAGCCCAGGGCACAGUUGGCUUUCUGGGCUGUGAGCAUGUAAUUGCCAGAUGAUCAGUACCCGCAGGUCCUUCCCUGCAGGACUGCUCUCCCUCCCUUCACCCCCCAGCCUACGCUGGUACUGGGGAUUGCCCCAACCCGGGUGCAGACCCUGCACUUGUCCCUGUUGGACCUCAGGGGGCUCACAGAGGCUCCCUCCUCCGGCCUGUCUUCCUGAAGUAACUCUGCUGCGGGGCCGUGCCUGCUGAGCAUGAAGGUGAUGCUUGAGUACUAGCAGGUGUUCCUGUGCUAGUGUUAUGCUGGAUGUAUCUCUUUCAGUCAAAAAAGCUGUCAGAAGAAUUUAAUGUGUCAGUAUUUUAUUCGAUAAAUCUGUAACUGGAAUGUCUGUCAUCUCGGUUUUAAGCAUACUGAGAACUGUUAGCUUACUUGUGUCUUAAUUUAAGGUCGCUAAAUUAUGAAAAACUAUCAGGAGUAAGCAAUCUGGGGGAGCUGUGCUUCAUUUUAGGGGUGACGCAACCGUUCAUAUCAAGAUAAAUAACUUAUUUCUGAACGCCAUUCCGAAAACUUUUUUUUUCUGACCUUUACUAACUUUAAAGACAGAUAAAAUCACAUCUCUCCAUUUUAUUGCCUAGAGAUGAAAAUACGGGCUGUUUUGCUGAUCUGAGUCUUAAUAAAAAGUAAUUCUGGGAAAAUGCUUUCCAAGGUACUUUUGUUAUCUGUUGGCCCUGUUCGUACCAGGGAAUGCUAUAGUGCUUUCAGCGGCCAUUUUGCAGCAGCCCAACGACCGGAUGGUAGCAGGGCUCCCUGUUAGCAAGUGCUCACCAGCUGCCCAAGUCUGAUGUACUUGGUCUAAUUCUCAUUCACUUCACGGCUUUGUGCAAGACAAGAAUAAAUGCUUUCUGUGCCUGUUGAAACUCAUAAAAGAAGGUAAAGCAAACUUUUCCAAGACGUACUUUUCAGGCUUUGUGUUUGACAGCUACAAGUGAAACAGCAAGGGUGCGACCUCUCUGAAUUUGUCCCGUUACACUGGGGAAAUAAAGGCUGCAUUUGUGUGCUCUAGGCGGGUGUUCUAUCUUUCCAGCCUUCCUUUGAAUUCAUUGUGGAACGGCAUUGUCUGAAAGUGCUACUAUGAUUGCUUUGCAGUUGCAGCAGCUGAAAACACCACACAGCAAGAUGGUAAAACUGAUUUAAUUUCCACCUUCGUACGCAAGUGGACAGUUGUCUUUCCAGCUCUGAAGACAGUUGAACCUCAACCUUUUGGUCUUCAAACACCAGGCCCCUUGUUUCAAGGUGUUGAAAAUGAUUGACUGGCUUCCAGCUCAUUAGAGACAACUUUCUAACUCAACAGCUGCUGAUGCCACUGUUCCUCUCAUUGUCUGGUACCAGCAAAGUCUGCCUGAAGGCAGCUUGGAGUCGCCUUGUGAUCUUUGCAAUUUGUCUCCCAUUACCCCAGUUCCACUGGAUUUAUAAUUAUUUGUAGGAGCUGCUUUCUUAGUAGCCUGCCUGUGCUGAGCACCUCUUGGCAAGCUGUAAUUACUUAAUAAAAGACAUUUUCCUUCUUGUUGCAGUUGAGACUUUGGAUGUACUUGAAGCCCAGCAUGCUCACAAACAUUUGGGAGGGUGACUGGUGAAUGACUACUGUCAUGAGAGCUCUAGGUUGGCACAAACCCCCCCCCGCAAUGUAACUUUGAACAAACAUCGCCAUUCUUAUGGAUGCUCUGUUCAGCCAGUGUACUUACGUGUCUCAGUGUUGGCACAGCGUAUCUUUGCUGGUUGGUGCUUUUGUGGCUCUCUUUUUCUUCAGUACUUCUCCAUAUUCUCUGCCUUCCCAGGCACCCCACGCUCAUGGAUCUCUCGAGAAUCCUGUCGAACGUCCUGUACCCCUGCUCCCUUUCCCAGCCCUGGCUCAGACCUUGAGUCUUUUCUUCUACUCACCAAUUAGUGCAGCUUGAUGUUUGCUAGCAAAUUACAAGCACACAGGACUAAAUUCACAAAGGAAAUGUAAACACAGACAGGUUAACUUCAUAGAUUCCUAAAAAAGAAGUCUUCCAGUGGACAUGAAAAAAGCCUUUAAAAUAUUAACAAAAAUAGAUGUGUUGUGUAGCCAGCUCAAAUUUAGUGACAAAUUAUUGCUGUUGGCACAGACAGAGUAAGUGAGAAUGUUUGCUACAGUCAUUUUUGCAGUCUGUGAAAAGGGCUGCUGGCACUGACACCCCUCAGAUGAGCAUGUACAUCCCUGUCCCUCUGGUGCUGACACCCCAACCUGUGGUCCCUGUCACCCAUGUCCCCUGAUCCUUCCUUUCCCAUGGCUUCGGCCCUUCCCCUACACAUCCCAUAGUAAGUUUUGUGCAGUCCCCCAAGCCCCCUCAAAUAUCCCUUAAUAUUCACACUGUGUUUCCUCUUUCUUAUCAGUUACAAAAUUGAGGCUGACUAUCUCCAAGGCAAGAGUAGCUCUUUUAAUGGCCCAUCGGUCAGCAUCUGAUGAGCUCUGGCCUCCGUUAUUCUCUCUCUCAUCACCUGCUCAUCGAUGUUUGCAUGUCUGCGUGUUUAAUUUAGCAUUUUCCUCGUUAUUUGUUAUUUCUAUGAGAUGGAAUAGUCCUUAACCAAAUAACUUACUGAACCAGAUGCUCUUGUAUUUCCCAUGUCCUCACGCCAGCCUCCCCGAGGCAGGCAGCUUGGCUGCAGUGGGCAGGAUGAUGCUGUGUAGAGGCAGCUCUGUGGUGCCUCUGCUGCAGAUGUCCAGGCAGGCGGCAGCUCUAAGGACCUGGAGACAAAGGGAAGGGAAUGAAUGCCUAAAAGCAAGAGGAGGAUGGGGGAGGGAGGGAAAAAAACUGCACGAGUUCAGAGAAGGACGAGCGUGUGCAAGGACUCAACCACACAGAUGCAUCAGCGUUUUGCCAGCAAUCUUGUACCCACAGAAGCCUCCUCCCUUGCUGGCAGAAGCUCGGCUCUUGCCGGCUGGGGGAGCAGGACGCAGUUCCAGCUCCUCGCGCAGAUGUUCGUCCUGCCUUGGCAGGAACACCCGAACGCCUCGGGCAAGGGGAAGGCGUCCUGCCUGGGGGGGUAAGAUGCUGGCAGCUGCUUGGUUUUGCAAAGGGGAUGGAGCAAAAAGCAGGGGACUCGGACACGUGGCAGGUUCUUCAUAUGUGCCCAGAGUGUCUAGAGGAUGUCAGCCGCUCUGCGCUGUCCUGGGCAGCAUCCUUGUGCCAAAUGCAUAAUGGCCUUGAGGAACAGCCAAUGCUGGGAUGUGAGCAGGGAAGAGCCAGCAGGUGGGCUGUGGGUGCUAGGAGAUGGGUGCUGGGAUGCUGUGCAUGGAGAGAUGGGCUGGAGCCAGGCACGCUCGAUACAGGCAUGCGCAGGGCAGUGUUUCUGGGGGAAAGAGCAUGGUGGCCCUGCAGAUCUGCCUCUUCCCGUGGCUCUGGUCUCCUGAAGCUGUAGACAGCGGAGCUCUUGCUCUGUAACCCUGUUCUGUGGCCAUGGUGGGUAGAGCCUGCCGACUCUGAUCCUAACCUCCCUGACGGAUCCAUCUUCUUCUUGUUCAGAAGGAACUUGAGCCACAGCCCAGAGGGACACUGCUUCUCUCCAUUGACUCUUCAGAUAGGAGGAGGUCUGUGUACCAAGGGCUGGAAUAUCACUGUUUUGAGGUGAUGCUCAUUAAAAACCUCUAAUACUUCUUUGAUAGCCUAUUGCUUACAACUUCAGUCUCAACAAGUGAGAAAGAUCAUUACACUGGCAACUACAAAGACAGAGAUUUAUUUAAACUGUCAUUGGAUUAAUAUUUUGCCAGACCAGAGCAAUAUUUCAGCAGAGAAGAAAGAUUUAUGUAUCUGAAGGUUGAGUUCAGAAGAGAUGCUUUGAAGAGAUAUUCACUGGCAGUAUGUAUAUUGUAAGCAGAUUAUUGAGAAUGCAAGGCAAAAGAAACAGAAGAAACAAAAAACCUUAAGUAUGCUACCGACAGUAAGAAGACAUUAAAAUGUCAUUGGGAAUCUUAGUUUAGGAAUUGCUUCUCUGUUAUUUACAAUUUUACUGUUUGUAUCCAUCAGAUGAUAGGAAGAAAAAACCACAUCAAAUGUUCAUAAUUCCUGCUUUACUGUAUCGGAGCAAAGCUGCAGGUCCAUCUACAUUAGAAGAAAUAAUUUGCCAUCUGUAACCAAGAUCAGAUACGUCUUCUCUGAUUUUGAAGUAUCAGUGAUCAGGCACAGAAAAGAUGAAGAAAUAGGUGCUUUGGGGGUUUUGUUUCUGGAACAUCUUGUUUUACUGCCUGAGGACUAACACAGUUUCUAAGUACCAUCAUCAAUCUCAGCCCAGAGUUACCCAAAUAUAAGCAGUGACUGGUGCUGCGUGAGAGCCCGAGACAAGAGGUUCACGCCUCCCACGUGGGAUGGAGCCCUCUGCCCUCGGACUCCAUGAAAUCCAUAUACCUUUAGUAAGAUGACAGUUCCCUGUAGAAGAAUGGCUGCAGAAGCGUGGCCUUAGAAUCUCUGAAGAUCUGCACAAUCCAGGCCUGGUAUUAGAAUAGGCCUGUAAUCAGAAUUGUACUGAAGCUGCUGUGCUGAAGUUAACAAGAAAGGUAGCCUUGAGCUAUUCUUGAAUCCUGAGACCAAGUAAUUAUGUUGUGCCAACAGGCUGUGGCUGUAACAAGAUACAGCUGCUGGGAAAGCAGGUGCAGGGCCAAGAAAGAUAGGGACCGGCAUGGGAAAAUAGGGACUAACAAACUACAAGGCUGAAGCACAGCAACACAAUUAGCUACAUGGAUAGAAUGCUUAUUUUAGUCAUGAUAAUUAGGGGUGUGAGAACCGCGCGCGUUUAGAGACUACUAACCAAUUGUAUUUCUGCUUUACGAAUAUGCAUGUGUAUCGGUUCUAUAUAAGUAGUGUUAGAAACUAAUAAAGUUGAGCAAGAUGCGUAACUCA